UAAAACACAGGUGAUUUAUUCCAUGGCAAAGGCGUGUAUGAUAUUGGCUGAAGAUACAAAGGUUGUUCAUGUCUUGGUAGCAGCAUUCCAGUUGCGGUUGAAGUUCUUCCAUUGCUUUAUCACCUGUUUUGAGGAGGCUUGUUGCUCUUGGUGGAGUUCCUGAAAUUCGAUCUGCUGUGAUGAAGGAUGGCUCCUGUGAUCACAGAUCUUGGUAACGUGGUGGGUAGAUGUGAG